rnacentral:misc_RNA from 1 species
UUUGGAGCCUGCAGCACCCAUUAGUGCAUGGAUUGUUUAGACUCAGAUCUCUGUUUCUCCCUUAUCCGAUUCAACUUAAGGAUUCAACAAUUUCCAUCAACAAGUCUUCUGGGCUAUUAUCUGUCUGUCCCUGUUGGUUAAUGUUUGGAUUGCUAUUAGGGUUUUGCUUGGGAAAUGGGAAUUUUGCAGGUAAUGGAAUGGAGACGGGGGUUUGUUUGCUUUGACAGAGUAAAACCAACAAAAUGAAAA